AAUUGGUGACCUUUCGACGUGAUUUUUGAAAAAAAAAAGGGAGAUCCUCUUCCCCAGACGGCAGGGCCUUCGGUGCAAGCUGGCCACUUUGCGCCGGGACACACAGAUACGGAGAAAGACAGGGGAGCUAUCUAUCUGCAGGAAAAAGCCAGAAGUUCCUGUCCAGAGUCGGUGGUGAAGAGACCAGUCGAACCAGGAGACCUGGUGUACGUGAAGGUGUUCAGACGUAAAUGGAACAGCUCGAGAUGGGACGGACCAUUUGAGGUCAAACGAGCGACCGCAACCGCCGUCCAAGU